UCAGGACGAACGCUGGCGGCGUGCCUAAUACAUGCAAGUCGAACGGUCUUUCUAUGGAAGCUUGCUUCCACUGAGAAGAUAGUGGCGAACGGGUGAGUAACACGUGGGGUAACCUGCCCAUAAGAGGGGGGAUAACAUCCGGAAACGGGUGCUAAUACCGCAUAGUUUCUUGAUCGCAUGAUCGGGAAAGGAAAGACGGCCUUUGUGCUGUCGCUUAUGGAUGGACCCGCGGCGUAUUAGUUAGUUGGUGAGGUAACGGCUCACCAAGACGAUGAUACGUAGCCGACCUGAGAGGGUGAUCGGCCACAUUGGGACUGAGACACGGCCCAAACUCCUACGGGAGGCAGCAGUAGGGAAUCUUCCGCAAUGGACGAAAGUCUGACGGAGCAACGCCGCGUGAGUGAAGAAAAGGUUUUCGGAUCGUAAAACUCUGUUGUCAGAGAAGAACAAGUUGGAGAGUAACUGCUCCAGCCUUGACGGUAUCUGACCAGAAAGCCACGGCUAACUACGUGCCAGCCGCCGC
rnacentral:rRNA from 1 species